rnacentral:rRNA from 1 species
AACGAACGCUGGCGGCAUGCCUAACACAUGCAAGUCGAACGAGACCUUCGGGUCUAGUGGCGCACGGGUGCGUAACGCGUGGGAACCUGCCUUUAGGUCCGGAAUAACUCAGAGAAAUUUGAGCUAAUACCGGAUGAUGUCUUCGGACCAAAGAUUUAUCGCUUUUAGAUGGGCCCGCGUUGGAUUAGCUAGUUGGUGGGGUAAAGGCCUACCAAGGCGACGAUCCAUAGCUGGUCUGAGAGGAUGAUCAGCCACACUGGGGCUGAGACACGGCCCAGACUCCUACGGGAGGCAGCAGUGGGGAAUAUUGGACAAUGGGCGAAAGCCUGAUCCAGCAAUGCCGCGUGAGUGAUGAAGGCCUUAGGGUUGUAAAGCUCUUUUACCCGAGAUGAUAAUGACAGUAUCGGGAGAAUAAGCUCCGGCUAACUCCGUG